AUUGCCUUAGUAACGGCGAGUGAAGCGGCAAAAGCUCAAAUUUGAAAUCUGGCACCUUCGGUGUCCGAGUUGUAAUUUGAAGAAGGUAACUUUGGAGUUGGCUCUUGUCUAUGUUCCUUGGAACAGGACGUCACAGAGGGUGAGAAUCCCGUGCGAUGAGAUGCCCAAUUCUAUGUAAAGUGCUUUCGAAGAGUCGAGUUGUUUGGGAAUGCAGCUCUAAGUGGGUGGUAAAUUCCAUCUAAAGCUAAAUAUUGGCGAGAGACCGAUAGCGAACAAGUACAGUGAUGGAAAGAUGAAAAGAACUUUGAAAAGAGAGUGAAAAAGUACGUGAAAUUGUUGAAAGGGAAGGGCUUGAGAUCAGACUUGGUAUUUUGCGAUCCUUUCCUUCUUGGUUGGGUUCCUCGCAGCUUACUGGGCCAGCAUCGGUUUGGAUGGUAGGAUAAUGACUAAGGAAUGUGGCUCUACUUCGGUGGAGUGUUAUA
rnacentral:rRNA from 1 species